rnacentral:sRNA from 2 species
AGUCCCAUUUCACUCAUGUUUUGAUAAUUCUAGUCACUUUAUACUCUCAUUCUGAUUCUGAUUCCACUAAAAUCAUGUCAAGAAAUGAACUGAAAUCAAAUCAAAUCAAAUCAAAUAUGUAAUUCAUGGUUCCAGCAGCCAGUCUAUAUAGAACUGAUAAAAGAUCACAUAAAAUUGAUAUCAGAUAAAAAGAAGAGAAAGAAAAAAAAAAUUAAAAAAAAAUCUAUUUAUAUACAGCUCUAGUAACUGUCAUAAAAGCUUUAUCUAAUUUCUAAAAAUACACAGAUAUUAUAAAAUAAAGAAAAAAAAAUGUAUAUUAAUAAAACACUCAAAUUCAACAUCUUCAGAAAUAAUUUAUAUACAAUAAAAAUUAAAACUUAAUCUGUAUCAAAAAUUUCAAGAUUUUAAAAUAAAUAU